UCGGUUCCGGUUCACGCCGCGGGGCGCAUCCAGCCCCUCAGCAAAGAUGGCGACCCGGUGCC
rnacentral:ncRNA from 1 species